CAAAGUGUGCGGGGAGGAGGUCGAGAGCGGAGCAUGCGCACUGGCAGACCCUUGCUCUUUCGCUGGAGACUAUGCGCAGGCGCGGUGCACUGCGCGCCGGCACGAGGGUGUUUUCGACGUUGGUUGUGGGGAAACAGCAAGCGGCGUGGACGACCGUUGCUGAGCUGGUGUGGAACGUCUGUGAUCAGAUUCGUUGGGCUUUUGCCAGCUCUUAUUAGAUUGUCCUCUUGAGACCUGUUUACAGAGGAAUGGCCAGAGGCCACAGGCACUGCCUCCUGAGACCAUCCACCUGAUGGGAAGAAAGCUAGAAAAGCCCAACCCUGAGAAAAAUGCUUGGGAACACUACAGCCUCACAAUUCCGAGUCCAGCAUGUGCUUCGGAGGCCAGGUAUUCCACUCAGUCAUCCCUCCCUGGAUGCUCCCCUGUGCCAGCCUGGAGGUGACUGAUUUAUUGCUCACUGCUUUGGAAAAUCCAGUAAAAUAUGCUGAGGACAAUAUGGAACAAAAGGACACAGACAGAAUUAUUUGUUCAACUAACAUUCUUCAUAAAACUGAUCAGACACUCCGAAGGAUUGUAUCUCAGACAAUGAAGGAAGCAAAAGAUGAACAAGUGCUUCCUCACAACUUGAAGCUUCUAGCGGAAGAACUUAACAAGCUCAAAGCAGAGUUUUUGGAAGACCUAAAACACGGAAACAAAAAAUAUCUGUGCUUUCAGCAAACCAUUGACAUAUCAGAUGUCAUUUCUUUUUUUCAUUAUGAGAAAGAUAAUAUUGUACAGAAGUAUUUUUCAAAGCAGCAUUAAAAUUUCUGAACUGCCAA
rnacentral:sRNA from 1 species